rnacentral:rRNA from 1 species
GGGCCCGCACAAGCGGUGGAGCAUGUGGUUUAAUUCGAUGAUACGCGAGGAACCUUACCAGGGCUUAAAUGCAGAACGACAGAGGUGGAAACACCUCCUUCUUCGGACGGUCUGCAAGGUGCUGCAUGGUUGUCGUCAGCUCGUGCUGUGAAGUGUCGGGUUAAGUCCCAUAACGAGCGCAACCCCUAUUUCUAGUUGCCAGCGGUUCGGCCGGGGACUCUAGAGAAACUGCCAGCGUAAGCUGUGAGGAAGGUGGGGAUGACGUCAAAUCAUCACGGCCCUUACGUCCUGGGCCACACACGUGCUACAAUGGUGAGGACAGAGAGUUGCCAACCCGCGAGGGUGAGCUAAUCUUCAAAGCCGGUCUCAGUUCGGAUCGGAGUCUGCAACUCGACUCCGUGAAGCUGGAAUC